rnacentral:rRNA from 1 species
GAGUUUGAUCCUGGCUCAGAAUCAACGCUGGCGGCGUGCCUAACACAUGCAAGUCGAACGCGACUAUCCAGCAAUGGAUAGUUGAGUGGCGAACGGGUGAGUAACACGUGGGUGACCUACCUUNGAGUGGGGGAUAACGUCCCGAAAGGGACGCUAAUACCGCAUAACGUCCUGCCUUUGAACAGGCGGAGACCAAAGCCGGGGAUCGUAAGACCUGGCGUUUGAAGAGGGGCCCGCGUCCGAUUAGCUAGUUGGUGAGGUAAUGGCCCACCAAGGCGACGAUCGGUAACCGGCCUGAGAGGGCGGACGGUCACACUGGGACUGAGACACGGCCCAGACUCCUACGGGAGGCAGCAGUGGGGAAUUGUUCGCAAUGGGCGCAAGCCUGACGACGCAACGCCGCGUGGAGGAUGAAGGUCUUCGGAUUGUAAACUCCUGUUGCCCGGGACGAAAAGCCUCGACCUAACACGUCGAGGUCUGACGGUACCGGGUGAGGAA